rnacentral:rRNA from 1 species
GAUGAACGCUGGCGGCGUGCCUAAUACAUGCAAGUCGAACGCGCAGCGAGAGGUGCUUGCACCUUUCAAGCGAGUGGCGAACGGGUGAGUAACACGUGGAUAACCUGCCUCAAGGCUGGGGAUAACAUUUGGAAACAGAUGCUAAUACCGAAUAAAACUUAGUAUCGCAUGAUAUCAAGUUAAUAGGCGCUACGGCGUCACCUAGAGAUGGAUCCGCGGUGCAUUAGUUAGUUGGUGGGGUAAAGGCUUACCAAGACGAUGAUGCAUAGCCGAGUUGAGAGACUGAUCGGCCACAUUGGGACUGAGACACGGCCCAAACUCCUACGGGAGGCUGCAGUAGGGAAUCUUCCACAAUGGGCGCAAGCCUGAUGGAGCAACGCCGCGUGUGUGAUGAAGGCUUUCGGGUCGUAAAGCACUGUUGUAUGGGAAGAAAUGCUAAAAUAGGGAAUGAUCUUAGUUUGACGGUACCAUACCAGAAAGGGACGGCUAAAUACGUGCCAGCCGCCGCGGUAA